rnacentral:sRNA from 1 species
UUGGUAUUUUUCCAUUUGAUAGAUUUAAAGGGGAUGAUAAUAAA